AGAAUCCAUUUAUAUUGGCCUGUGCCAAAUGAUUAUAUGCUGCAAACUAAGGUUUAAAAUAGGAUGGAUUUCAGUGGUACCUACAGAGAUGAUCUGGGUCUACAGUAAGCCAAUAAGAGGUGAUGAGUAGCUCAAGAACUACGAUGUACCAGUGAGUUUUAGAAGAGGG